rnacentral:rRNA from 1 species
CCUACGGGAGGCAGCAGUGGGGAAUAUUGGACAAUGGGCGAAAGCCUGAUCCAGCCAUGCCGCGUGUGUGAAGAAGGCCUUCGGGUUGUAAAGCACUUUCAGUGGGGAAGAAAGCCUUGGGGCUAAUACCCUCGAGGAAGGACAUCACCCACAGAAGAAGCACCGGCUAACUCCGUGCCAGCAGCCGCGGUAAUACGGAGGGUGCGAGCGUUAAUCGGAAUUACUGGGCGUAAAGCGCGCGUAGGCGGUCUGAUAAGCCGGUUGUGAAAGCCCCGGGCUCAACCUGGGAACGGCAUCCGGAACUGUCAGGCUAGGGUGCAGGAGAGGAAGGUAGAAUUCCCGGUGUAGCGGUGAAAUGCGUAGAGAUCGGGAGGAAUACCAGUGGCGAAGGCGGCCUUCUGGACUGACACUGACGCUGAGGUGCGAAAGCGUGGGUAGCAAACAGGAUUAGAUACCUGGUAGUC